rnacentral:rRNA from 1 species
CCUGCCUCAUACAGGGGGAUAACAGUUAGAAAUGACUGCUAAUACCGCAUAAGACCACAGUACCGCAUGGUACAGGGGUAAAAACUCCGGUGGUAUGAGAUGGACCCGCGUCUGAUUAGGUAGUUGGUGGGGUAACGGCCUACCAAGCCGACGAUCAGUAGCCGACCUGAGAGGGUGACCGGCCACAUUGGGACUGAGACACGGCCCAAACUCCUACGGGAGGCAGCAGUGGGGAAUAUUGCACAAUGGGGGAAACCCUGAUGCAGCGACGCCGCGUGAGCGAUGAAGUAUUUCGGUAUGUAAAGCUCUAUCAGCAGGGAAGAAAAUGACGGUACCUGACUAAGAAGCACCGGCUAAAUACGUGCCAGCAGCCGCGGUAAUACGUAUGGUGCAAGCGUUAUCCGGAUUUACUGGGUGUAAAGGGAGCGUAGACGGAGUGGCAAGUCUGAUGUGAAAACCCGGGGCUCAACCCCGGGACUGCAUUGGAAACUGUCAAUCUAGAGUACCGGAGAGGUAAGCGGAAUUCCUAGUGUAGCGGUGAAAUGCGUAGAUAUUAGGAGGAACACCAGUGGCGAAGGCGGCUUACUGGACGGUAACUGACGUUGAGGCUCGAAAGCGUGGGGAGCAAACAGGAUUAGAUACCCUGGUAGUCCACGCCGUAAACGAUGACUACUAGGUGUCGGG